rnacentral:rRNA from 1 species
GAUGAACGCUGGCGGCGUGCUUAACACAUGCAAGUCGAACGGAAAGGCCCAAGCUUGCUUGGGUACUCGAGUGGCGAACGGGUGAGUAACACGUGGGUGAUCUGCCCUGCACUUCGGGAUAAGCCUGGGAAACUGGGUCUAAUACCGGAUAGGACGAUGGUUUGGAUGCCAUUGUGGAAAGUUUUUUCGGUGUGGGAUGAGCUCGCGGCCUAUCAGCUUGUUGGUGGGGUAAUGGCCUACCAAGGCGUCGACGGGUAGCCGGCCUGAGAGGGUGUACGGCCACAUUGGGACUGAGAUACGGCCCAGACUCCUACGGGAGGCAGCAGUGGGGAAUAUUGCACAAUGGGCGCAAGCCUGAUGCAGCGGCGCCGCGUGGGGGAUGACGGCCUUCGGGUUGUAAACUCCUUUCGCUAGGGACGAAGCGUUUUUGUGACGGUACCUGGAGAAGAAGCACCGGCUAACUACGUG